rnacentral:rRNA from 1 species
UCAGCCGGCCAUAGCGUGUGGGUCCGACCUGGACUCGUCCGAUCCCAGAAGUCAAACCACAUGUCGUCGCCAUGUUAGUGAGGUGCGAAAGCUCUCGUGAAGUGGCGAUGUCGGCGCCU